rfam:Dipodomys ordii ctg_broad_rename0005623, whole genome shotgun sequence.
GGGAAUGUGGCUUAGUGGUAGAGUCCUUGCCUAGCAUGCAUGAAGCCCUGGGUUCGAUUCCUCAGUACCA